UUUCUACUUAGCUUCAUCUCCUGAUGCACAUUACUAGUGGGAUGGCUGACUAUUAGAAUGAACUAAUCCCUCUUCCAGCAUUGUGAAUCCAUCUAAAGGAUGCCUGAAGGUGAAGAGGAAAUGAAAUGCCUUACACUCUGCAGAGUGUUCUGUGGAAAGUCCUGAUAAUCAGCCAGGGCCGCUUGAAAGACCAUUUCUAACACAGCUGCUGAUGAUUUCAACGUCUGUGUGGACUAGGUGUGAUGUUUAUCUGGACUCUAAAGAAUAUACGAAUUGCUUUGAUGCUUGUGCUAAGGUGACAUCACUGCACAGGACACAGAUGGGAAAGUUAAAGCUCAGGGAAGUGAAUUAAUUCCACAAUCAUCUUUCAAUUUUGUCAAAAGAAUAAACCCUUUUUUGUUUU